CUUGACAGCAGAAGACUAAAUUCGUAAAAGAAGAUGUAUGUGAUGAGUUCACUGGUUAAAAAAAUACAGGAUGCUUCAGUGACCCCAUUGUAUGAAUAUGUUUGUUUAAAAACAAGGUAGCGUGUGUGUUCUGAGUGGGGCGUUUCAGAGGCCGAGCUACCUGACUCCCGUUAUCUGGGACGAAGGUUGUUACGUUGUGAUGGGUGCUGCUCACUUUUUCAGUCCUUAUACGAGUUGGAAUACAUCGGUGCCAUGGGCUGGGGUGCUAUCUUUGUACAUGGGCCUCCCCAUGGGUGCGUGAUGCGGGGACAUGAUGUGCCUCCUGGGCUAAUGUUACAGAUCGAUUUGCAUUUACCUCGUUAGACUUGUCUCAAAAAAAAAAAAAUUACCUCGUUAGACCGGUCAUCGCCUUCCUCCCGGCGCACUGGACAUGGGACGGGUCCCCAUGGACGGGAUGGAGUUCUUCUUCGAAGAUGACGAUUCGGGGGUCUAUCUUAAAGGGGGAAGUGGUUGCAGUGGAAUUGGCUGUUGCUUCUAUUUAUGGGGCUCGCACAGGCAAUGGAGAUUAGAUUUCUUCCCAUGCAACAGUGGAAGAAUGGAGGCCGGAGAGAACGGAGGAGGACGGCACCCAGAAGAGACAAUCAUGACAGAGGAGAUUAUCGAUUCAUACAUCUGUGGUAGCGAAGUGGUGGCCAAUUCAAUGUCCCCUGAAAAUAUGAGCGGCCAAAGAAGAUGAGAUGCAGAGGGGGUGGUCAUCUAAAAAUCACAGGGCUCCUGCUGGACACGAAGGAAGUUUACUUGUGAUCUAAUCUUUUAUUUUGUGACUCUGUAUAAUGGUAGCACAUAAUGGAGUAAACGAGUCUUCAUGUGAAAUUGACAGAAUUAGGAUCAGUUAGGAUGCAGAUGAGAGGGAGAACAAUCCCAGCAGAGUGCCUCCUGUGCUUGAGGCUUCGAUAUGUGCUUAUGCUGAUAACAAGGCAGGUACUGUUGUUAAUCCAGCUAGCUCGCUUCCGUCGAAGAAGUAUAUGAGUUUUACAACUUUUACUCUUUGGGAGACUGACUUUGGUGUCCGGUAUGCAAAGAGCCGACUCAAUGUCCAUCGUAUAAAUUGCAUGCAUGCACGGGUAAACCACUGCAGUCCAAUAGCAGAUCAAGGCGGUGUGGCUGCACUGCUAUGAUGCGGCUACUGAGAUCGGAUGAUAACGGCUCGUACGGGUGUGAGCAUAUGUCAGAAAUGAUCAUGAACUCUCUGUUAACUGUAUGGAGAAGUUACAUUGAAAGUCGCAUCGACACAUAGAUAGGUACAUCGGGGACAUGGUAAAAGAACAAACAAUGUAAGCACAUGCAAAGUUUACAGCAUCGUGGACAGUUUUUUUGGUGUCAGUGAAGGAGGUCCCGUUCACAAAAUCUGCCAUAUUGGAUAUUUUCUGAAUUCCUUUAUCGGUUGAUUAUCUGAAUAUUUGUUCUGAUCUGCACGCAGCAUUGCGUCGCUGUGGGUCUUGAUCUUGAAGAGGGUUGCGGCCACUUCGACCCCUUGUUGGCGUUAAUCCUACCGAGCCAUGCAGCAAGUUAUGAAUCAGAGCACAUGUUAGACGAUAUUUGACGGCGCUGCGGCAACUGAUGGUGCAUGCUCUGAAGACGAAGAAGUCACGAACAAGCCUGCCAAAAAAGCCAGGAUAGUUUGACCGCCUAGUGUGAAAUGACACUAGUAGAUUUUAGAGCAGGAAUGGUUAGCCCUGUUUCAUAUCUUGUGCACGAUAUGCUGGUCCGAGCAUGGAACAGAGUGGUGAUGGCACUUGUGCCAGCGCUGCUGGACAUACUCGUCUCUAUGGGAUACCACUGUUCAUUAAUUGAGAAUACAGUAGCUGGUAAAUGACUCGUACCUGAAAUACAGGAGAGGAAUACCUGCCUGCGGCUGAUCCCAGUAAAGACAAACGGAUGUGAUAGCGGCCACCAGGUAGCUCGGCCUCCAAAGAGCAUUUCCGGUGUGUUCAUUCCUAUAUUUUCUGUUAUGUAUGUUGGUUGAUUUUAUUUACAGAAAUUUACAAAAAGAGUUUACUGAUGCUGCUCCUGGAGGUAAUUAGCCAGUCACUGAAUGCUUCCUCUGUUGAUGUUGCUUCUUUAGGUAAAGACCUGGCCAAAUGGGGAUCUGCAAUUUGGAUUUGGGGAUCCUCAAUUUCUUUUUUGCAAUAACCUGAAAUUGUUUAGCAAAUACUAGGAAAUAUGCCCGUGUGUUGCUACGGCUCUAGAAUAAACCUAUACAUGGUCACAAUACAGGAUAGCAACAUGUCUCCUUUUAAUUUUGUUUCAAACCAUUCGAAAUAUGUUAGAUUUUACUUUAAUUUAGUUCGCUUAUUCCACCAUAAAGCAUUCAUGUUGAAAAGGAGAUAACGUCUGUCAUUUACAUUCCAAUCUUUUUGCUUGCAGCAUUGUUAAGAAUUGCGCACCAAUCUGAGAAAACGUUUGUACCCAAAAAAAAAGAGUCGAUAAACUUUCUUGUAUCUUCAGCCAUACAUCAUUUACUCAUAUUUAAAAAUUUGCAAUAUUUAAUCCAAGAAAAAAAUAUGUGAAUUACAGGACUAAUUGUACUGAUGUGACUUGAGAUUUGGUUAGUUUCACACGCUCAUACUUCUUUAGUUUUCUUGUAAAAUAAUAUGGCGAUAUUUAUACUAUUCAGGGGGUUAUCCAUCCGUAAGAUUAUUCUUGAACUUGAAGCUAGCUAGUAAUCACCAUGAGUUCAGUUGGCAUUCGAAGUAAUCACCAAGCCAAUCAACCGUGAGCAUCCGGACGUUAGCUGCGAAAUGACGGACGGCUGGAUGGGCUAAUGAAGAUUAAACCUCACGUUUUGUACACGGCAGUGAGACGUCGACCAGAAGGACUUACCAGACAGGGGCGUGGCGGAUUCAGAUAUCCUACUGCAGCUAUCGCUGCUCUCCAAGGCGUUAGUAGUUCAGAGAGUUGUUCAAUAGCUCUCCGUCCAGUGCCUGCUCAAUACACGGCGAUGACGACCUCCUUUGGGCACUCGUAGGCAGGAGAAGAGAGGACCGCGGCUGCAGAUCACUCUCGGCGUUGCUCCCGUGCCGCUUGAAGGUCACCGGCUCGGGGCAGAGCAGGACCUUAAAGGCAUGGAUACGCCAGACCUGAAGGACGGCACUGGAAAGGGUGGCGCAGGGGGGGACGUUGCUCGCGCUCACGGCGGACGCCGGCGGCGCAACACGCGUAGAAGGUAGACGGCGGUGCUGGAUCUCGCCUAGAGCACGGAGGGGACAGGGAGCAGGGGGAGAGGUAGGCAGUAAACCAGAAAGGAAUGGCCAUGUAUGGCAUCUGCCCUCGGCGGAGCUCCGUGUCGUCGGCAACCUCCGCGACAGACACCCAGAAGCCCAUCGUGUCGGCGUCGUUGAGGAAUCGCCCCUGCUUGCUGUGUCCGACCUCAAUUUCAGAGAAACCGGAGACGGGGGAUCGUCCGCGGUUGGGCAACGGGUAAGGGGAGGAGUCCGGGGCAAAGACUGUUGCGUUCCACCGGCCGGAGGAGGGCAGCGGCUCCGGUGGCCGGAGAUCGAGGGGGUGGCGGCGGUGUCCGACCUCCAACAGGCUGUGUUCUCUUUCUGAGGAGACGAAAAACGGAGAAACCCUGCUCUCGAACCGCCGCCGCAGCCUGACUCCACUCUCCCCGUCAACCCCCUCUCCCUCGAUCCAGCGGCGUGGUUAGAUUGAAGCCCCCUGAAUUCCACGACCGAUCUGAUUCUAUCGAUCGAGGCAGCUCUGUUCCGAUUUGUAUAGUUUUUUUUUUAGGAGGAGUGUCCGUGUCGCGCGGGGUGUAGGAGGCAGCGUGGGCUGAGAGGCCCGGUACAGCGAUCCUAAUCAUUUUUUAUGGAUUUUUUCCUUACUUAUAUGGAUGGCAUGGUGGGUAAUUAUUUAUUGUAUGGCAAGUCUUGCAUGCCUAAUAAUUAGAAAAAAAACAAAUAAAACAUAAGCAGGGAAAGUCUUGCAUGAAGAAUAGUUAGAAAACAAAUUAAAUAUAGGACGGUUUCCA